rnacentral:tmRNA from 1 species
AUUUGAUAUAAUGCAUUAUGGUAAUGUCUGUUCUGUAGAAUAAGCGUUUUGGACCCGGGGGCAGUACCCGGCGCCUCCACCACAGGCUGAUUGGACCUUUGGACCUGUUGCAAACAAGCACAAGCAACGGGGUAAAACUUUGCCAAGCCAAUCAGUCUUUGAUGGGGGCGAAACAGGAUCGACGAGCGUGGUAAAAACAGGACGCGAAGGACUUUACCGCCAUAAACGCCAACGACAAUGAGGCGCUUGCACUCGUGGCCUAGACCGCCAUGAUAGACGGGGUUCGGGGCACCUGGCAACAGAACGCCCC